rnacentral:rRNA from 1 species
UUAAAGCACUUUCAGUGGGGAGGAGGAUUAUCUGAUUAAGAGUUGGAUGAUUGGACGUUACCUACAGAAGAAGCACCGGCUAACUCCGUGC